rnacentral:rRNA from 1 species
UGACUNGAGUGCAGAAGGGGAGAGUGGAAUUCCAUGUGUAGCGGUGAAAUGCGUAGAUAUAUGGAGGAACGCCAGUGGCGAAAGCGGCUCUCUGGUCUGUCACUGACGCUGAGGCUCGAAAGCGUGGGUAGCGAACAGGAUUAGAUACCCUGGUAGUNCACGCCGUAAACGAUGAGUGCUAGGUGUUAGGCCCUUUCCGGGGCUUAGUGCCGGAGCUAACGCAAUAAGCACUCCGCCUGGGGAGUACGACCGCAAGGUUGAAACUCAAAGGAAUUGACGGGGGCCCGCACAAGCGGUGGAGCAUGUGGUUUAACUCGAAGCAACGCGAAGAACCUUACCAGGUCUUGACAUCCCGAUGCUAUUCUUAGAGAUAGGAAGUUACUUCGGUACAUCGGAGACAGGUGGUGCAUGGUUGUCGUCAGCUCGUGUCGUGAGAUGUUGGGUUAAGUCCCGCAACGAGCGCAACCCUUAUUGUUAGUUGCCAUCGUUAAGUUGGGCACUCUAGCGAGACUGCCGGUAAUAAACCGGAGGAAGGUGGGGAUGACGUCAAAUCAUCAUGCCCCUUAUGACCUGGGCUACACACGUGCUACAAUGGUCGGUACAACGAGUUGCGAGCCGGUGACGGCAAGCUAAUCUCUGAAAGCCGAUCUCAGUUCGGAUUGGAGGCUGCAACUCGCCUCCAUGAAGUCGGAAUCGCUAGUAAUCGCGGAUCAGCACGCCGCGGUGAAUACGUUCCCGGGCCUUGUACACACCGCCCGUCACACCACGAGAGUUUGUAACACCCGAAGUCGGUGAGGUAACCUUUUAGGGNCCA